rnacentral:lncRNA from 1 species
UGAAGGGAAUCUAUGAGAGAAGGUUCUCGAACCGGGUUACGACCAACGCGGAACCAACGAGUUCAGUCGAACAAGGUAACGAGUCUAAGGGAAGGAUCAAGCUUGAAAGGAAUGGAUGGGCGUAGGCUUAAUAGUGAACGCAGACCCCCCUGCAACUAGAUAUGAGAUCAAUGACAACAAUAAAAGAAAGAUGUCGAAAGAAAGUCUUAGCCCAACAAAUGCGUUGCGAAGAGAGAUUGAAGACGAAGAUUUUCUGAUGCAGUGCGGGCACUGGAUGGAAAAGACAGAUAAAGGAACAACCCACCGGAAGGGCAUACCUCAAGGGGCACCAAUCUCCCCCGGCAAAGAUCUAUCUGCGCGAAGCCGACCUAUGGAUAGAAAGAAAGAUGCAGGAAAGGAAAAUGAAAGAAGAAAUCCAAAUUUGCUUUGGGAGUGUGAGAUAGGCAGACGGGGAGUACGCAGCCGAACAACCGCUGGGGUUUCCAACAGUGAUAGCUGAACUAAUCAGAUGGGCCGCUCCAAACCUGGAGCUGACAUUUAAAUCGAAAAUCGACAUCGGGUCCCGGCUAUCCAAAAAACGCAGACUGAAGCAGAAGAUCACAAAAUGCAACACAACAAAGGGGUCGUUAGACCGUAGCUUGCGCUAAGGAAGAAGCUAAUCAAUAAAAAUUGAGACAGGGAGGAGAGGCGAAAAAGAGAUUUUCGAGCCUGCAAGCAGCAAGCAACAACGGCUUUUCAGCCGUUACGCGCUAGCUUGUAGUUUAGGGGUAUAGUAGGGGUGCCCCUUUCUCAAACUUUUCUAUAAUAUAAGGUAAGAUUUUUGGAACCCUAGUUUUGGAGUUUUCCCCAACCAACCUAUACCUUACUAAUAAAAAGAGGCUUCCCUUUUUCAGCUGCAUUGCACUGCCGCAUAAACAAUGGAUCCGCUGGGAUGGAUGAGCAACCUUCUAUUUGGCCUCUGUACCAAUAGUAGAGUGGCUUGCUACUUUCAAUCAGAAAAGGAAGAUUGAGCAAGGCAAAGGAGAAAGGAGUUGUCCCCCCUUCUCUGGUAACCCGCCACCGCAUAUUUCGAAAAAGAAGGAGCGGAGAAGGAAGAACAACCGUUUGACUUUGGCACAUGAGGUGGCGGGUUUGGCUAGGUAACAUAAUGGAAAUGUAUCGGACUGCAAAUCCUGGAAUGAUGGUUCGACCCCGUCCUUGGCCUCGAGGAGUGGUGAGCAGCACGGAACUUGUUUCAAUCAAAUGGCAUAGUAUUAGGGUAGGAGGCUUUCCUUUGUUAUAGAAAUCCACAGACAAGAUUCUGGAACUUCCAAACCAAAGAAAUGCAAGAUGAGAAGGAGCUUUUUACGUUACGCUUCAAUAGAAUGAAUUCGGUAAGGGUAGAAUAGGCCCUAUGGUCGAUCGAAGGUGCUGUGCCACUUGAACUCAAAUCUAUCUGACCUUCAAUCCAUCUUUGUCCAGCCAGCUCAUAACAAAAUGUUAGACCAAGGCUGGCACAACCGAAUUGGUUGAGGAAAAGGAACCCCUAGCGACCAAGCACCCCCGCCCCCAAAAGCGGAGACCAAAGAACCUUAAGGUUGAUGAGGACACGUCUGAACAGGAGGCGGGCGCCCUCUAAGUUGACCACCCUACCCACUAAUAGACUAUGAGGGGGGGAAGGCGAUUUGGAAUCGACCGAAAACCCGAACCGCUUGACUGACCCCUUCAUAGUCCAUUCAUUAAGGUUGGGGAUGGCUGGAACCAAUCAGAAGUGCAAAUCGCGCAAGCGAAGCGGGAAAUGGACCGCAGCGCAACGACUAGGACUCGUGUUGGAGGAGUUUUGAGCGUGUGCUAACACUCAUGCAGCGGCAAGGACCCUUAACUCUCGAAGGGGCCACCAACCGCCCGAAUCACUGUAGCAAACCCUCUCUUUACUCAAUGGAUAGCCCUUAUUCUCUUUCAAUCAACAAAAUGAGAAAUGGAAAAAAGAGGUCUUUAUUGAAGAGGCUUUGCACCUGAAAUAGGACUAAUGCAGAUCCAGAAGAAUGGUCUGGGCUUUCGAAAAGAUGAAGAUGCAAGGGAUAAAGAGACAGUCUUUUGAACAACCAAGCUGACAUAAGGAUUCUAGCUCGCGCCUACUUAGAGCAAAUAGAGAUUCUCGGACGGGCAAAAGCGGCACUCGACAUAUAUUAAACAAGACCAAGAACAAAGCCAUACCAUGCCCUCGGGAGAAAGUAAUGAUGAUUUUCAUGAAUGCUGCCCUCGAGUACGUGUACAAGAAGGUCUUUGCCGAUUCCUAUCAACAUGGUGCAUCUAUUAGUAGAGGGGCAUGAAAAGUGGAGACUUUGACCGUAGGUAUCAAUUGAUAGACAUUUUUCUUGAGGAAGAGAAUCCAGGAUGAACGCUUUUUUCAUUCGCUAUGCGCUGACUGGAUGCGUACUCGCGUAAUCAAUCGAUGGACGGGGGAAUUGCAUGAAUGAUGAGACCGGACUAACCUAAAGUCAAGGCUCUUCUCUCUCUUGAUGGCGAAUCUUGAUUGACUGACACUGGGAACCGAUUCGGAGAAAGAAGAAGCAUGGCAUGAGAUAGGCGGCGGAGAAAUUUCCGAUAGCAAAUUACUUGACUCGAUGGAUGGAGGGAGAGCCCUCCAACUCAAGCACGAAAUCAAUGUUGAGUCAACAAUCAUCGAGAGGGGUACCACCAAGCGAGAUCGAGACCAGCCCCUUGUAUAGGUAUAGGGUGCCAAACGUGCGCUUCUUCAAAUAUCCUAUAAAUCUAAAUAAAGUAGGAACUUCAAAGCUUGACUAAGAAGGGAGAAAGUUGACUUUGAGAAAGAAAAGGGGCGCCCUAGCUGCAAUCAAAAAAUAGCGCUAACGAGCAAGAAAGGGCCCCUUACUAUAGAUAGGGCCUUAGCGCUUUACUAAUAACAAACAUAUAUAGGGUUGACUUUUUUCAGCUUGAUUGAAAUCGAUUCUAUGAUUGAAUAGCAGAAGUGCAACUUAGUAGUAGAAACUCGGAGAGACAGACAGAGAGGGGACUCUUUCAUACCUGUUAACUCCUAGGAUGAGAAGUAGGUCCCUUGUUUUUGGCAGGAAGAGUUCCAACCUUUGUUGCCUCUCGGUAGAGUGAGUCUACUUAGCGAAUUGGCAGAGCGCGGAUAUCUAUUGAUCAAUAUGAAUCUCGAGAGUGGAUGGUUGAUCGCCGCCUCCUUGUCCUGGAGGCUCUCCGGCCGGGGAGGGGCUUGCCAUCGUAACCCUUUCUCCCGGUAUAUGUCAAAAAGAGUGACGAACUCAUUUUUCUUCGGUCAUAGGUUAAAGAACGAGAGUCGACUUCCAACAUUAAGUCUGUUGUUCCUCAGUAGCUCAGUGGUAGAGCAGUCGGCUGUUAAUCGAUUGGUCGUAGGUUCGAAUCCUACUUGGGGAGAUUUUUGAGUUAUCGCUUUUCUGACCUAGCGCUUGCCUCCGGUGGUGUCCUUCUCCUUUGUUUCUAAACUAGCAGAAUCGUGGGACAUCAAAAGCGGUAAGUUGAUUGUUGGUUUUUAUUCCUCACUCUCGUAUAGGAACACUUGGUUCGUUCCAUUCUUAGGGAAGGAUCCACUGGAAAGACUGGAGUAGUAUCUUCAUUAGCCGGAAGGAAUUAGUCUCCACUAGCGUCAUUCGAAGAACGAACAAGAAAAGGGUUACUGUUUAGGAUAGAUGGAUGUGGCCCAAUGGCUAAAGCUCUGCCAGCUUCUUGUAGACUGAACUCUCUUCUCUUUAGGCUCCGAGUUCUUUUUGGGGGGGAUGGUCUAAUUUACUAGUGGCAACGAAGUUCUUAAAUGAAUAGAUUCUCCCGGAAUGCUAGCUAAGCUAAUCGUCUUAGUUCCCUUCAAUUAUAUCAAUAAGCUUUUUGAUUGAUUCAGGGCGCCGCCCCCCUUCUUAGAAUUAGAACCCAUUGAGGGGGGCCUCGGCCCGGGAAGGGGAGAGUGGCCGAGUGGUCAAAAGCGGCAGACUGUAAAUCUGUUGAAGUUUUUCUACGUAGGUUCGAAUCCUGCCUCUCCCACUUGUUUGUUGUAGACUUCAGAGAAGAGAAAAGAGGCAUUCGUCAGCGUAGGAAGGCCAACCGAGCGAAGCUCUUUCUUUUUUUUGGCCGUGCCGUGAAGUGAAAUUGUAUCGUAUGUUAGUUAGAGAGGUUGGCGAACUACUACGAUCUAUAGAUUUCCCAUCUAUAUCCAAUCCCAACGAGAAUAGAAGCGAGUCGCUUCCGGCCUGUCUUGUAGUCGUAGUCUUUUAGCUUAUAUAGUCGUCGGUCUUCCUACAUGCAUGCGUCCGCCAGAAUGCCUCCUUGGUUCGGGAUGAAGCCAAGCCGAUACAUACGAUAGGCGAAGGAAAGACCCCCAUUUCAUAGUGCCAGGGGAACGCAAGUUUGAUCGAGGAUUGGAGAGGAGAGGUGGAAGAAAGGGCUCGGGAUGGAUUUAGGAGUCUUUGUGCGAGCCAUAUGCGGUGAGAGUCGCACGUACGGUAACGAGGGGGUUUGCGUCUAUACGUGUAGUGUGGUGCUUAGGCCUACCAACCCUAUUUGUUCCAUGAUCUAUGGGUCUACUGGAGCUACCCACUUCGAUCAAUUAGCCAAGAUUUUGAUCGGAUACGAAAUCACUGGUGCUCGAUCUAGUGGUAUUUUUAUGGGGAUUCUAUUUAUCGCUGUAGGAUCCCUAUUCAAGAUCACUGCAGUUCCUUUUUGGGCGGCUGUAGGACGGCUGGUAGGGUAGGUGGGUAGUACCGCUCUGCGGCCAAUCUUCCUAACCGCUUAGGGCCGGGCUUAGAGCGCGUGAAACUCAUCACUACCUCGUAAGGGCGUUGAGACCAUAGCAUGUUAUACGAAAGUGCCGUUUUCUCUGUAGUGUUGUCACACAGCUGCCCACCUAGAAGAGCAACUCGCUCUGUAGUGUUGUCACACAAGAUAAGCACGCCGCCCGCCUGCUGGCCGGGCGAAUCGAAGUUAUCUUCCGGUCAACUGUCCACCCAGUCAAGUGCAAAAAACACAGUAGAAUCACGCAACGCACGCUGCUGGUGUGCUUCCUGCUCGCGAGGAAAGAAAGAAGAGCGACAGGGUUCAGUUCAGAUUUGACUGUUUGCAGCAUGGGAGCAGAUUCCCCAAAAAAUCCCUGGGAACAAUGAAAAAAAAAAGAUAUCUCGGUAACGAAAACUAUAGGGGGCUGUAUUGGCGAGAUCCAAUGGUGAACAGCUGCCCAAAAGAAAAACCGCCUGGAAGUCCGAGGACCUUUAGUACUGUACUCUACCCCCGAACCAGCAGCCUUCGCGCCAAGCAAGACCGCCCUUGUCCCUUUCCUUUCUCCAUUCCGCCUCCUUCUUUGCUUUGUUCCAAUAGAGUCUAAGGCAAGGUGGUUCGUAUGCCUACUUUACCUACUUGACGAAAGGGAACGAACAAUGUUUCAUUUCCGAGUUUAUGGAUUAGAUUCAGUCAGCCUCACGACAUAAUCAGAGUGAGGCUUUGGUUAUUGGCAAACGCUUCUCCAAAGGCGACCCUCUCGAGUUUCUGGCUGUUUCCGUAAUUGAAGUAAUCGUCGCCCUACCAAACGAAAGAAGUCACUAUCAAACUGCUCGCCCUAUUGAAGUACCAAAGGUGCGCUCAGCCCGGUGAUUAGGAAAUGGGUUUGCCCUUGAAUUGAAGUGAUGAGGUCGGAAAGAGAGAAGUAGGGAUCCUAUUGACUAAAGGUUGGUUCUUCGCUUUCCUUUAGAAUGGAAGUUGCUAUGAAGCCCCUCUCCUUACAGUGGUUGAACGCCCCUACUACUUACUUUGUUUGAUUCAAAAGGCAAACAGCCCCCCCAACUAGUUGUAUGGGGUGGGGUGCUUGUGAAAAGCUACUUUGGAUAUGAGUAAUUCCUAAAAAAAGGCUUUGUCCGGUAUUUGACAAAGAUCUUUCUAUCAAUAGAUAGGAAUGAGUGUUCGAUAUAGGGGAUAGGAUCCAUCUGCUCUUUAAUCUCAUAAUUUUUUUGUGAGAAAUAUAUAUAUAUAUCAUUUAUCUAUCUCUUGUCUAUCUAUCAUUGAUUCUCAAGUCCAAUUUUUGGGUUCCCCGAAGCCCCGAAUGGAAUGGAUCGUUUCUGCCAACGAAAUGAACGCGGAGCCCGUUCUGAAUGCUUCUACGAUCUGGAAGUUCUUGCGAAGAGAAUAAGAUGCUGCUCUCCUUUCCUUUUUCUUUUCCUCCUUUGCUAAUCUUCCCCUCUAACGCGGGCCGGGCGGCGACGGGCCCGGGAGGAAGAAACCUAAGAGAAGACGCUCGUCUCGGGCGGUUCUUUUUUUCAGUGCAACAUAGGAAAGCGCCCUCUUUUUGUCAUCCCUGCAGGUUUCCAGAUUUUGUAUUGAACGCAUGGCGUAGCUAGGACCCUUCACAUUCUGUUUGAGCCUAUGUUCAAGCCAAACCCACCCCCUAUUUUACUAAGGCUGGAAAGAAUGCCCACCAAGUUCAAAUAAGGGAAUGCUUUUCCCAACCAUUAAAGUAAAGGUUCGACGAAGGGAGGGAGGUGCGGCGGGGGAAGGAAAACGCUUUCGGAGAUCGAGAUUUUUUUUUCAUCGAAAAAGAAGAAGGCCGAGGAUGGCCGUAGGUGCGUCUUAUCUAAAGGGAACACGCUUUUUUGACCGCCGUGGUAUGAUUUCGGGCCCUCCUCCUUACAGUGGCUUUCAGCUCCUCUCCUCGUUCCGCCCUUCCUAUUGGGAUAGCAGGCUUCGGGCUUUGCCUGCCCUUUCUAAUAAGAAAUUUUGGCUCGGCCCGAGAAAGCGCUGGCAACAACUGAAAGGAAGGGGUCCAUGUAGCUGCUGUGUCCGCCCCCUUCUUAGUCAAUGGGGCACAGCAGGUUCGGCAUCUACUACAAAAGAGAGAAUCCACUUCAGAUAACCACGUCUCUGCUAGGCAGCGUGUGGAAUGGCCGAGAGCGGACCUUUUUGGAUAUAUAAUCCAAGUCGAGAGUAGAGUUACAGGAAAAGCCGUCUGAUGGAAAACGACUUUCACGUUCGGUUCAGAGAGCACUUUUUUCGUUGAGAAUUCCUCGUUCCCUUUCGUGUGAAUUCCCCAGCGGCGAAUUUCAAACUUGUGGGGCCCUAUCUAUUCCAUCUCUCGAGCCCCGAAGAAAACCCCCUACCCUUCGGACUCCAUAUAUCUUUUGACUCUAUAUAUGUGGGCACCUGAUAUCUAUGAGGGUUCACCCACCCCGGUUACAGCAUUCCUUUCUAUUGCGCCUAAAAUCUCUAUUUCUGCUAAUAUUUCACAUGUUUCUAUUUAUGGUUCUUAUGGAGCUACAUUGCAACAAAUCUUCUUUUUCUGCAGCAUUGCUUCUAUGAUCUUAGGAGCACUGGCCGCCAUGGCCCAAACGAAAGUAAAAAGACUUUUAGCUCAUAGUUCAAAUAGACAUGUAGGUUAUAUUCGUACUGGUUUCUCAUGUGGAACCAUAGAAGGAAUUCAACCACUAGUAAUUGGUAUCUUUAUUUAUGCAUCAACGACGAUAGAUGCAUUCGCCAUAGUUUUAG